AGGGUGCAGUGGUGACCCUUGGAAUAUGUUUGAGGAAGAAAGACACAGGCCAUGGAGGAGAUCUUCAUUUUUUUAAAAAAGCAGGUUCAGACUCUUCGUGGGAAAAGAAUGAAUGAGUAGACGGGCCAUUCGGUUCCUCCAUGCUCUCAGCACGACUUGGCAACUGUUCUCAUUUCACCCUUGCAUGGUCACAGUGGAAGUGCUUUUCUUUCACUUUGGCAACCUGGGAGGGCAAGGAUAGGAAUCUGAAAAAUAUACUAAAGCACAUUGCAUUUAAAGAAAUAAGUUUAAAGGCAACCAGUUGCAGCACUUGAUGGGGAAAAAAAUAGGAUAAAUCCCUUGCAGCACUUCAGGACAUUUGAAAACAGCGAAAACUGCCUACGUUCCCUAAAGGCACCAGAUCCUGUCUGACCUUGAAAGCUAUGCAGGGUCAACUCUGGUUAGUUCUUGGAUGGGAAACCACCAAGGAAUAUCA